GGGUCCGGACACACUGAGGAUUGACAGGCAAAAGAUACAAGUUUUCUUUGUGAGAGCUUGCAUUGUAAAAUACGCGAGUCCUUUCAUGAUUAUGUGAUAGGUGGUGCAUGGCCGUUCUUAGUUCGUGGAGUGAUCUGUCUGCUUAAUUGCGUUUCACAACGAUUUAAAAUGCUAUGUUUUCUGUGUUUGCUGUUCGGUUUUAGCUCUUACGGGAGUUUUUAACUUUGAACGCACACGGCGUAGCUUAAAACAAUCGGAAAGCAACGAACGUGACCGCAACCUCUUGUUGCCUUUAUUUUUAAAAGCGUAGAAAAUUUUAUAUUUUCUUACGCUUGAAAAAGGCUUUAAAACUAGAGGGACCGCUGUUCUAUUCUCUUAAACCAGAGGAAGAUUGCGGCAAUAACAGGUCUGUGAUGCCCUCAGAUGUUCCGGGCUGCACACGUGCUACAAUGAUUGUUGCAGUGAGCAUCUAUUUUCAAACGCUACCGUUGCGGAUUUUGUGAGAAGGGGGCUUGUUUUAAAGCUUUCGGGUGGAGAAGCAGGUUCUUUUUUUCACAAUUUAUUCCGCGUUACGUGUCAGCUAAACCUGCUUCGAAAGCAAGUAGGU
rnacentral:rRNA from 1 species